ACAUCAGCUGCGGCGUGUAGGACCAUGCCGUGGAAGGCCUGCCAAUCUUAUUAUGUUUAUUUCCAUACGUGUAAGUAUAAAGGAUGUCCCAUGAUGAAAGUCACAUAUUGACAGAAGUUGAAGAUAAAGCCAUUCUACGCCACCAUUAGGAUGACAAUAAGGUGACAGAAUAAAAAAAACAACACAUUCUGUUCACAAGAGGCAUCAUCACCACGACCACCACCACCAUCACCUCCACCACCACCACCACCUCAGACAACUCUAACCCCAGUUUCCAGCUGCCGCGGUACUCAGGUUGCUAACGUCGAGACAAUAGAGAGCUUUCAAAGAAGAUUAAGGAGAUUAAUGAAUGAGGCUGAGAAGUGAAUAUGGGUAGAUAUAUUUGUAUAUACCAUAUACAGGAACUGCCACGUGUACAGCUGAUGGCUACUUGCAACUUCCCUUAUUUUCAGAUGUUCUUAAGACCAUCUUUCUCGUAAAAAGCGAAGACAAGACUGUGACCACGACAGACUGCAAGUAUUUAUGACACAACGUUUGUUACAGUGUAUUCGAGAACUUGAGCCAUAAGCUUCUCCUACACGAGGAUGCAUCUCCGUUCUCCCUUCUUAUUGGGGGAGGAAAUUCAGUGAAAUCGUGCACUCAGAAGCGCUUCAUUGUUACUUUAAUAACACACCAUACAUGUCCUUCGACAGCGUGAAAGUUAUCAAUUCAUCAUUCAGAUUUAGUUCUAGAGUAAAUGUUUUAUGAAUUGAACACAAAAUUAGGUCAAAUACACAUUUAUUGAAGAAGAGAUACGAUGAUUUAUUUAAAAAGGUUUAUAAAAUUCUGCGUAAGUGAGAAAAUGAAAUUAAUCACUCCACGGCGCCUGUGAUCCAUUUCAAGUCAAACAUACAAAUUUUGACCUGAGAGGAUUGAAUGGGAUCACCAGGGAUUAUAUCGCUGCCGGCCACGCCAACGCCUUCAGGUGAGAUGGUGGGGUGGCAGGUACACUGUUGCCACACACACCGUGUGUAAUGACACACACGGUGUCAUUACAGGAAAGCAUGCUCGUAAACAACCAUAUCCCUUCAUUCUACCAUGCUCAUGCUGACAUGUGUGUUUUAAGAGAACCAACUGCAGACUAAUAGGGAUCCUUGAAGAAGCUUCAACUGUCACAGUAAACACACGCCCGCGCCACCACAGGUGUGGCUCCAAGCAUUAUCGCCACGCAGACGAUUCCACACGUGCAUACUGAUCUCAGAGUUAGAUGGUAAAAGUAAAAUAUCCACAAGCCUGCUCUCUUCAUCUUCAUUCCUCCCUUCCAGCGAAAUAGAAAGGACUGUGAUAUAAAUGCCACAACUGACAAAAAGAUGCCACUCUAUGUAAUUAACGCAUUAAUCUAUAGAGAAAUAAAAACUUACGCCUUUUUCUUCUUGCAAAACAGAGUCAGUGUCAUGUGCAGGCACACGCGGGUGAGUAUCGUUCCUUGUAAUCAGUUCCAGUAUUCAUGUAGGCACCUGGCAUGGGGCAUUAUGACUGGCCUCAUUAUAAAAGGAGGACGGAGCCUCACACCACACCACACUCAUCUCGCCACACGCGGCGCCAUGAGAACACUCAAUGUCUUCCUGGUGGUGGCUGUGUUCCUCACGGCGCUGCUGGUGGUGCAAGCCAUGCCCACUUUCUCCCCUGAAACAGAGCCUUACGCCGCCGCCCCUGGUCCUCAGUUUUCGUAUAUUCCUGGUGGGUAUACCAGGGGUUAUCGUCCGUACUACCAAUCCCACCACCCCCACCACCACAUCCGACACUACCACCCUUACCGCCACCUCACAUCCGUCUACGGCUUUGGGUUCUACAGGUGAAUUGCAGCAUGGCAGAGAUGGCAGUCGGUGAGUCUUCAGGUGGAGUUAAGCUGUGGAAUAAUACACCACAACCACCAUCACCAUCACCUCACCGCCACCGCCACCGUCACCACUACAGACAGCGACUAGCAAGUAACGCCUCUUCUGAUAACCAAACACGACGCAUUUUUAAACUUUUCUUUAGCUUGGCUUCAU